AAGCGGUGGAUGAUGUGGUUUAAUUCGAUGCAACGCGAAAACCUUACCCACCUUUGACAUGGCAGGAAUCCCGAAGAGAUUUGGGAGUGCUCGAAAGAGAACCUGCACACAGGUGCUGCAUGGCUGUCGUCAGCUCGUGUCGUGAGAUGUUGGGUUAAGUCCCGCAACGAGCGCAACCCUUGCCAUUAGUUGCUACGAAAGGGCACUCUAAUGGGACUGCCGGUGACAAACCGGAGGAAGGUGGGGAUGACGUCAAGUCCUCAUGGCCUUUAUGACCAGGGCUACACACGUACUACAAUGGCCGGUACAAAGGGCAGCGACACAGCGAUGUGAAGCCAAUCCCGAAAAGCCGGUCUCAGUCCGGAUUGGAGUCUGCAACUCGACUCCAUGAAGUUGGAAUCGCUAGUAAUCGCGGAUCAGCACGCCGCGGUGAAUACGUUCCCGGGCCUU
rnacentral:rRNA from 1 species